CACCAAAAAACUCUUUUACUAAAAAAUAUAUUGAAGAAGAUUAAAGGAAAGUGGAUUUUACCAGUAUGCACAUACAUACAUCAUCCAAAUUCGAAGACUGCCGACAUUCAUGCCAAAUGAACGUAAACAACAUGUGGAGCCGAACGAAAUAGCAGUGCAUUCGAUGAAGUAUGCAAAAUUGUUGAUGAGUGAAAAAUAAGUGAAGAGUUAUUGUGUUUAAAAUAAAUUAGUUUUCAAUAAGUAAAAGUAUAAAUAUAGAGAAAAGUGAUUGAUAAAAAGUAAGUGAGUAAAAAUAAAAAUAUUGCAGAAGGUGAGGAAAGAUCACUUAUAAUUCCUAUGCAUAUUAGUAAUCAAAUGUUGCUAGUACAAUUAACUAGUUGGUGUUCACGUCAAUUAUCCUCACCAGUUUUGAUUUCCAAGUACAUAUGUAAAACAUAAAUAAAGUCAAUCGAAGAUAUGUGUUGCUUGUGAUAAAUUAUCAUUCAUACAUGUUUGUGCAUAAUUAAAGCAUACAACUCAAUUACUCUGCUGUGCUGCUUAUCUUGAUUCGGCUGAUGACCUAUAAAUAAGAUGAAUCGGACGCUUGAUAUAGUAGCUAGUGAGUCACGCAAAAGUAACAACAAUAGGUAAUAACAGUGCUCUAAAACUAUUAACAAUUAGCUCUUGUUUAACAGUAUGUAAAAAAACUACUAACUAUAACAAUCCUUGGUAUUAGCACAUACGUCAAUUUCAUAACCAUUUUAAAAUACAUAUGAGUUUUGAUGAUAUAUUUACAUUAUCAAUUCCAGGUAUUUGCUACUCAAUAUUUUAUUUGUAUGUGUUCCAUGAAUGUCCAAAUAAUUUACCGGCUUGAAUAUUGUGAGGAUUACGCACAUUGCUUAUUUGCAUGAGGAAUUCUGAUCACUCACAGCUGAACGAUUGUGAGCAAUCGAGUACAAAUUAUUUAUUUACAAAAAAUUGCAAUCGUUUUAGCAAAAACUAGCUUCAGUGAGGAAUCUCCAAUAUAUAUAUAUUCGUUUAUUCGUUUUCCUGCUGGCAGAUAGUCUAUGGAUUAUUAACAGAUUUUCUGUAAAUUGUGCCAUCAGCACGAAAAUAUUUCGAUUAAUGUGUGAAUGAUGUAAAGAAGCUACCAGAAAGCUAAAUUCGAAGAAAUAAAUACAUACUUGUAUAUAUACAUAAAUGCUUAUAUGUUUUGCUUUCAAUUGGCAUCUGUGCAAAUGUCCUUAAGUAAGUUGAGAGUACUCAUAGUACUCAUAACAUUUUUGCAACAGGAUAUCGAAUGCCUGAAGUAGCCAGUUGAAUAAGUAUACUUAUUUGCAAUGAAGAAUUUGUAGAAAAAAGAUUUUACUUGUUUAGAUUGUCAGUUAGAUUGCGUAACAAUUUACGUAGAAGUUCUUCCGUUUUAAUUAUUUAUAAAAGUCUUUUUAAGUAUAUUUCAACCCGCUCCAACUAUUCUAGGUUUACUUAUGGGUAUAGAAUAUAAAAUAUUUCAAUAUUUCUUUUGGGAUAAAUAAAAUAAAUGAUAGAUAAUAUAA